AAAUGGAAACUGCUUCAAGUUCAAGCCAUAUUUAAAAACACAACCACAUGGGUGGCAGGAAGGAGGGUAACAGCUGUGUUCAAAUAUUUUUCUGAAGGGAUGAACACCCGACCUCAUUCAGCUGUCUCUCUCAAGAGACUGAAGUGGCUCUGUGUGGGUCCUGCUAUGUUUGGACCUGCCCCCAGCCCCUUCCGAGGCCUCUCUGACCCAGUGAAGAUGAUGAAACAUGGUAGCCAGGAGGGGCUGCCCAGAACCUUUUAUUUUCCCAAGGGUGGAAACAGGACCUUACCUUGGGCUCUAACCACAUCUGAUCAUGAAGGGGCUGAGAAUGAAUUCCACACAAGCUGCCACCCAAACUGCCCCUGGGAUCUCUCCGCCUUGGAGGCCAGACAGGUCCUCAUUUCCUGCUCCUGGCACCAGCAGCCCAGCCCCCAGCGAGGAAGAAGCUGGGCUGCCCAGGCCGGCCCUUCCGAGGAACAGCACGGUCACCGGGAGGAAGGAACAUGCGCAGCUUUCCCCCUCCUGCCUUCUUGUUGGCCAAAACUGUGCACGACGAGCUGAAGGGCCAUUUCAAGCCUCGGCAGCGUUUGGGAAAGUGGACAAGGGACUCAUUCAGUGACGUGCAAGUUUGAGCGGAGCCAAGAAUGAAGCAUGGAUUUCACGAAAUGAGGAGUAGCCUUGGACCACACACAGAGCCGGUUCUGAACUGGGGCUGCCUGCCUGCCCCUUCGCAUCACACACACACACACACACACACACACACACACUCACACACACACACACUCACUCCCUCUCCUCACCAUGACAGACGGCCCUGACUAACAGCAAGAAAGCUCACUGGUGUCCACAUGAGGGCUGCGGGGGUGUCCUGGGCUCGGGCGGCCCUUUGUGAGCAACAAGCUGAUGAAAAAAUGGAUUACUGCAGUGUGUGCACCCCAUCCUAAAGAGAGCUCACACAAAAGGCAGAGCCAGAGCUGUUAGAGAAAACAACGGAGCUGAACAAAAGUUGUUGAAAUCACUUUUGAUUGGGGAUGCAUGAAACAUCCAAGUUUUCCCUUGGAAUGAGGCCCAUUUUUGGAGACUUGCCCUGAGUUCAGCAAGUCCAGAGGAUGCACCUACCCCUAC
rnacentral:lncRNA from 1 species